rnacentral:rRNA from 1 species
UGGGGAAUAUUGGACAAUGGGCGAAAGCCUGAUCCAGCCAUGCCGCGUGUGUGAAGAAGGUCUUCGGAUUGUAAAGCACUUUAAGUUGGGAGGAAGGGCAGUAAGCGAAUACCUUGCUGUUUUGACGUUACCGACAGAAUAAGCACCGGCUAACUCUGUGCCAGCAGCCGCGGUAAUACAGAGGGUGCAAGCGUUAAUCGGAAUUACUGGGCGUAAAGCGCGCGUAGGUGGUUCGUUAAGUUGAAUGUGAAAGCCCCGGGCUCAACCUGGGAACUGCAUCCAAAACUGGCGAGCUAGAGUAGGGCAGAGGGUGGUGGAAGUUCCUGUGUAGCGGUGAAAUGCAUAGAUAUAGGAGGGAACACCAGUGGCGAAGGCGACCACCUGGGCUCAUACUGACACUGAGGUGCGAAAGCGUGGGGAGCAAACAGG